GGAAAGUUGACAGAGUGGUUGAUUGUGGCUCCCUGCUAAGGAGUUAAUCGUGAUAAGCGAUUCAGGGGUUCGAAUCCCUUACUUUCCA
rfam:Lactobacillus plantarum bacteriophage LP65, complete genome.